AAACAGAACACCCAAACCACAGAUUCCUAGAUUCUAGAUUCUACUGCCUGUGGAGACAGAGUCUAUAAUGGAUUGGCUGACCACGAUCCAGAGUCAGUAAUGAGGCUGGCACCCUUGACCCUACGACUAAGUCAUCAGAGCACCAGGUUUCAGGCCCAGUGCCUACAGGUAUAGAAGAGAAGAGAAAGCAAGCAAGGCAUAUCUGUGCACCACACACAUGCCUGAUGCCCACGGAAGUUACAAGAUGACAUGGAUCUUUUGGAAGUGGAGUUACAGACAGUUGUGAACUGCCAUAUGCUGCCUGAGAGGAAGGUGCUUUCUUCAUGCUAGGAAGAAAGAACACACUUCAAGGAGGAGUCAUGGCCCAGAGAAUUCUCUACAGAUGACUUUGUUGAAUUACACACAUCCUCCUUUAGCCACACUCCCAUCCCCCACUAACAGUCUCUUUCCCACAACUGCCUCACCUUGUUCAAUGUUAUAUCAUACAAAACAUGUUCUUGUAAAAAAUAUCUGUGGCUGGGUGAUGG
rnacentral:sRNA from 1 species